GGGGGCGACAGGCUUUCGACCGGGCAGGUUGAGGUCUGGGUGGCGUGUCGAGGUUGCUAGGAGGCCUCGUUAAACACCUGGCAGACUUUUAGAUGCCGAUUCCGGCUAUCGCAUGGCUGCCUAAGUAAGGUAGUCCGACCGCCGCCAACGCCUGCUAGGCGGACGGUCGAAACAGCAGGCUGGUUCGUACGCUCCCGUCCCGUGGCGUGCGGAUGAGAUGCAGCGGGGCUGGGCGAUCCGAUGACCGGCCGGUGGGUCUGCGGUGAGCCGAGAUCAAAUCCGCCGGACACACACGUAGAGGCCCAGGCUGAAAUGCUUCGGGACGGGGGUUCGACUCCCCCCGCCUCCAC
rnacentral:tmRNA from 1 species